GCAUCUGAAAAGAAUCUUCCUCCCUCUUUCCGGGGCUCAGGCCUCAAGGCUGGGAGCCCAGGGCCAAGAACUACCUGGGGUGCCCCUCUCAGCACCUAGGACCCUGGAGAUGGUCUGCUUCUCGAUGGCCCAGGACCUCAGCCCCUCCCUCCUCAGAUGCCCGGAGAAAAGAACAGAGAGGCCACACCGCCAAGGGUGGGAAGUUGGGUGCCAGAGCACCUGGAGUCCUAGAAUUUGGAAGACUGAGGCAGGAGGACUUCUUGAGCCAUGGAGCUUGAGACCAACCUGGCACCCUGGCAGUGUAUUUACCCAACAGUGCGUGAGAUGGCCUGAGGAGUCACUGCUACCUCUCUGAAACCUGAGGGCAUGAAGCUAUUCUGGCUCCUAUUUUACACAGAUGAAACUGAGGCUGAGAGGAAGAGAGUCGAUACAGGUCCCACAGCAGGGAACUGAUACGCAGAGCCCUCACCCUGGGCCUGCCUGGGUGGCCCCGAGCUCACAGGCAUGAAGUCCUGUCUCUCCGAGAAGGUGCCCUGUCCUGUCCAGGCCCCGUGCCCGCGGUGCCCAUAGCACCUGCUCGCAGGUGUGGCCUACCUGCGUGUAGCAGCGCAGGAGCAGCCCUUUCUCCUUCAGCAGGCGGAUGAAGUAGUGACAGACGGUCGGCUGGAGGGGAGUAACGGCAACACUGACGGUCACGGAGAGCAUUCACACGUUGUCACCAUGUGCCUGGGACGGUGCUGUGCACUGUGUCUGUUUUUCUCCAUGGAAUCAUCACAAGGCCCUCGGGAGGGAGACCAAUGUCCCCCUUCCUCCACCCCCGCUCCACAGAUACCAACUUUGGCUUCAUGUUGCCCAUGGGAAAAGUGAGGCUCGUGGUCUCAAGAUGAGGUGCAGGAGCAGGAGCUAAACCCUGGCAGCCAGGCUCGGAGCCCACGUCCAUGAUGCCUCUCUAAUAACUGUCCGCAGGCCCGUGAGGGGACCUUCUUGUGCCUGCUCUCCCAGCCCCACCGCCAAAUAGGGUCUCACCUUGAACUGUCCAGGAAACAAUUCCUUGGCGAGGGUAAAGAAUGGUUCUGGAUGUUUCUGUAGGAGACAGUGCCAGAGGGCCCGAGGCCCCAGGUGACAUGAAGGUUGGAGCAGAUGUGUCCCCCACCACACCCCUUGUCACAGACAGAUAGAUACCUUGAAAUAGGUAAUCUCAAAAAUGGCCUCGGGAUAGGGAAGGUGGUACUUCUCCAGGUUGGCAUAGAGGCCGGUGUUUGGAGAGCGGAAGUCAGGGAUGCCGGCCGCUGGGGGAGGAGGCACAGGGGACAAGUGACUGGGGGAUGCUGGUCCCAUCUACACUGCAUUGACCCUCCUCCCAGACUGGACACAGACAGUGCCCUCCCUAGCUUGUGGGGGGCUUCCUCAUUCCUGGGGGCAGCUGGGGAGGGGAACUUACAUGUGGAGAUGCCAGCUCCCACCAAACAGAUGACCCUGCGACCUGGAAGACAGAAGGGCAAUGUCAUCAUCUGAUACCCUUUGCUCAGCCAAUAUCAUCACAAUGGGUGUGGGGCAGGCAGGUGAGGGUCCUCUGAGCACCUUCAGGGAGAUGGUAUUAUUGGGCCUCAUUUACAGAAGGGGACACAAAUCUUGGAGCAGAAAAAUGAACUGGCAGAAAGCACUGUCUGACUCAUUUGUUUGUUUUCCUUGAGACAGGUUCUCCCUGUACAGUUCAGGUUGUGCUUGAUCUCAUAGGGAUCUUUCUGUCUUAGCCUCCAACUGCUAGGAUUACAGGUGUGCGCCAUCACAUCUGGCCGAGAAUGCAUUAUUUGAAAUGAUACCAAUGUAAGAAAACUCAAGAAACAGCUGGAUGUGGUGGUUCACUGAGUUCUUGGGAGGCUGAGGCAGGAAAACUAUAGUGAGUUCGAGGCCAACCUGGGCUACAGAGCACACUAGGCUCCUGGCUCAAAAAACCAAAACAAAAAACAAACAAGCAAAGAAGAAAAAGAAAACUCAAGAAGCGACCACAUGACCAGAAGUUUCUCUUCCUAAGUAGUCUAGACAAAAACACAUUCUCCAGAAAGAGAUGCAGGUUAGUAUAAAAAUCUCUCAAUUUGAGGUGUGGCUCAGUGACAGAGCACUUGCCUAGCAAGUGCAAGACCCUGGGUGUGUCCCUAGUGCCACCAAAGUCACAAAGCAACCACUCAUCUUCUGGACCUGACCUCAGGUGACCUUCAAUUUCUAGCACAUUAUACACAUUUUCUCAUCAAGAUCCUUUUCGCCAUAAGCAAAUGUUUAUCAGUGGCCAGAAGCCUGGUCAUUUCCAGGCAAAGACCAAAGAUCUGCCACCCUCAGCCCACACCCAGAGAAGAAGCAUGGAGACUGAGCCCAACCUUGGCUUUCCUCUUCAUGGGGAGCUUAUAAUUUCUAUCACUACCUGGGGCUCUGACUUCCUCCUCUGUAGAAUGAGUGUAAUUAUAGUGCUGGCUUCGCAGGCUCCUGAAAGAAUGAAUGAAUUCACGUAUAGCUUAGAUCGGUGCCUGGUACCAUGCAAACACUACACACCAGUGUAUGUUUGACUUGUGUCCUUUGAGCCAAUUGUACUGAACUUCUUGAGUAUACACUCCUUGUAUACAUAGUAAAUAUUUUGUGCUUCAAUGUGUACCAGUUGUCAGAAAAGAAGACAGGGAGGAUGUGCUCACAUAGAUUCACAAACACACAGCUCAGCACAAAUAGCCUUGUGUCGCCUCUACAAAUGGCUGGCAGGCCGCCCUACCACACAGAGCCCUGGCAUCUGCCCAUCAGCUGAUGGACAGAUGCAAGUGUAACGCCCCAGGAGUUGGGCUCCCCCGUCUAUGGAAGGCUGGCAAGGGCAACAGAGGUCAAGGCCUGCCACAGGUUGGGCCCUUGCUUCAUCUGGGGUGCCCUCCGGCCAGCCUGGCUGGACUUGCUGGGGUGGAGAUAAGGAGAAGUAUGUGCUCUGUGUUCAGGGUACCUGGAAACAAAUCUCAAUUCUGCCGCUUGCUAGGUGUCUGACCUGCCCCAUGUCACAAUCUUUCUUGUCCCUCGGUUUCUUUCUCUGCCCAGGUUAUGCUGUAAUGACCUCACAGUUAUAAUGGGAUGGUCAAAUAAGCAGACUUCUGUAAACUGUGAAGGCUCAAAUUAUUUUUUCUUCUGUAGUAUGGGGGAUUGAACCCAGACCUCUGAGGCUGAGCUAUAUCUCUUGCUAAGUUGCCCAAGGUGAGCUUGAAUUUGCAGUCCUCCCGCCUCAGCUGCCCAGAGUGCUGGGAUUACAGGACUGUACCACCUUGCCCAGCAUCAGUACAAUAUUUCCUCAGGGGCCAACUACCCCAGGAUCCAGGUAAGGGGUGUAGGAGGAACGAACACUUUGUUAGCUGCUCUCUGGAUUCUCUUCUAGCCAUCCAGGCAAGGGGACGGCUGUGGGCAGUUGCCCAGCCGACCUCACAGGAGAGAGACGGCAGCAGCUGGAGGACGGGGAAACCAGAAAAGACAUUCUCAACAAAGGGCUGUUCAGGAUCCUCAAAAGGCCCAUUGUGCUUGUUGAGAACUGCUGAGGCCUGGUUUCUCAGACUUUGGUGACUCAACUCACAGCAAGAAAUAUACAUUUCAUGGUGACCCGGCCAGCAGGCACCUACACAGCACACCUGAGAUGCCUCCUCUAACAAUCACCAUGACAGAGGCUGGGGAUUUAGCUCAGCGGCAUAAGUGCCUGCCUUGCAAGCGUGUGGUCGUGAGUUCGAUCCCUGGUACCGGUAAAAAUACAAAAAUACAAAAAAAAAAAAAAAAAAGAAAAAAGAAAAAAAAAAAUCACCAUGACAGACACAUGCACAACUCUUGUGAGGUGCAGGCCCUGUAAUGAGGUGCAGGCCCUGUAAACAUUCACAUUUCUCUUAGUGUGUUGGCCCUGUGUCAUUGCAUGAGGCACUGCUGUCCUCAUUGGAGAACAGCACAGUAAUUCUUUCAGCAACAGAAAUGUGACAAAGGUCUGGCCAAUCAGAGAUGGGGAAACUGGUUCAGCUAGUCCAUGGGAGCUGACCGCUAUGGUUUUGCCUGGACCAUGAGCAAGAGGUGUGGCCUUUGAGGAGUAGUUGCUAGGCUGGUAGCUCCAAACUUGCAUUUGGAGCUGCCAGGAGUUAACUUUACCCCAACCCAGAGAAGUUGUAACUUUGGAGAACAUGGGAGCCCCUGGGUGUAGCCAUGCCUACGGCUAUAUUUUAGGGCCCACACAUUCCUUUUUUGGCAAAGAGCUGCAUAUUUUUGCUACUCAUAAGCGACAGGUGUGAAAUCGAGGGGGGCCAGGAGGGCGAAAGUGGCAGGUGAGGGUGACUUACAGCGCUCGCUCUGCAGGUAGCGGGCCACCCCUUCCAGAGUGAGCUCGUCCAGCAGACGCUCCUUCUGGGAGCCCAGGCCCAAGGUCUGGGAGAAGAAGUUCCUCAGGAAGUUCACUGAAUGAAAGGAGAGACAGUGGCUGGGUGGGUAUUCAACAAAGAGGCAUAGGAUCUCCUAGAGCCCCCCAAAUGGGGACCGCCCCCCCCCCCCAUGGAAGGAAUGAUGCCUGGCCUAGCCCUGCUUGGCACUGGUACUGGCACCAAGUCCUUCACUUCAUACUGUUUUGUUUAGUUUUCCUCACUCUGCCCUGAGGAACUUGCCAUGUAGUUCAGGCUGGCCUCAGCCUUGUGAUCUGCCUGCCUCAGCCUUCCAAGUGCUGGGAUAGGCAUGGGCCGCCAUAUCCAACAAAGUUACCUACUUUGAACAUCACUCUUGGUGGAGGGAAGGGGGGUCCCCAGAACCUUGUUCUAAAUGUGCACCACCCCCCCACUGCCCCUGAAGGAAGACACUCACUUUCUGCCUCUCCUCCAGAUGCGCCUUCCUCGGAUGCGCCUUCCUCAGGGUCAGAGUCUGUGUCCUGGAGGGGGUAGGUUGGGGUGGCUAUGCCCAAGAGGCGGGAUUAGGGAGAAAGGGGAGUGGGUGGGAGGUGCCGGAUUUGGCGGGGAAGGCUCUGGUUGGGAGGUGGCUGGGGAAGCAAAGGGCAAAGGGCAGUGUGGCCAGUGUGCGGCCUGUGUGACAGGUUGCCUUGAGGAGACCUCACCCUGCUGCCCCUGAGGAGUGUGACCUCAAGAGCACUUUCACCUGCAGGUUCCUGUGCUCCUCAUUUUCAGAACGGAGCACAGAGAGUGGAAGUGUCCGACACAGCACCAGCGCUCAGGGAGCCCUGGGCAUUACUCUUGUCACAUGCUGGCGUCCCUGUUUCCUGGAGAACGAGUCCACUGUCUCUCCCCAGCGGCCUUGAGAGCCUGCUUUGUGAAGGCAGCCCACAGAUACCUGCCAGAGGCCUGGGGACCUUGCAGCUACAGCACUGUGGGACUCUGCCCUGGGCCCUUCCUGCUACCCUUUCCCACUUUCUCUGGCUAGCUGCCACAUCUGCGCCAAUGGCCUUGCUUAGUCACUGACGAUGCCACUUUGCUGUCCCCAGACCCAGGGUUCCUGAGGCUUGACACCUCACGCAUGUGACCCCCCAGGCCUCUCCCUUCCUUCCUGUCUCAGACUGGCCUCAGCACCUUUCCCCGACCUGACCACCUGACCAGGUUGCUCCACCUGACCCCUUCCUAUGUGGCCUCACUGUCCCUCAGGCUGCCUCCUGCCUCGCCCUUCGGCCACAGGCACAGCCUUGGCUCGCCAGGGCGUCCUGUCCACUCAGCUGCCACAUGACAGCCUGUCCGCAUUCCCCCACUCCACAGGUCCUUCUCUGGCUUCUCCAGGCUCACCCUUUGAUCACGAACAUCUCUACAACGUACCAGGCACGGGGCUGUGCGUAUUCACCACUGAACAGCCAGCUCUGAGGGCAGCACUUCUGGAGCAUCCUCUACCGAACACGCCUGGUGCUGGCUGGACCCAUACUGGCCUAUAGCAACACUGCCAAGUGCUGCCUAUGCCUUGGCCUCCUGUGCUAGGCCCUCCGCCUGCCCCUUCCUCAGUCAUUCACUACUCCGGUUCUGAGACUUUCUGAAUGAGAUCCUCCCUUGCAAACAUAUGAAAAACUGUUACCAGUUUUAAAGAUUACACAAGAUUUGCAAAAGCUCUGGCCAUAGACAUAUAACACAGGCACUUGCCUUGUGAUUUCCCCCACCCAUCCCACUGAGAGGACCAUUAUCAACAGUGCAACAGUAGUUACUCCAGAUUUGUUCUCUGUGUAUAAAAAACUCAUUAUUAAUAUUACUUUUACGGAAAUAAAUCAUGGUACUGUAUUUUCUACUGAACAACACAGCACAGAUCCACCUUGUUCAUUUUAGUAGCUAUACAGUAUUGCUCUGUACUGAUGAACCAAAGUUCACAUAAGCCAUAUUUUUACAGCCGUUUGGGCUGUUUCCAGACUCGCCCUAAUACGGACAAUGCUGGAAUUCAUAUCUUCGUGUUUCUUUAGUAUUGAAGAUUCAUUUUGACCAGGAGAUCUUUUCUCCGGCCAUAGUCAUGCUCUGGGACCCAGGCCAGUGGGACACUAAGGACUGACAGGGAGCUAUCAUGUCCUUGACUUGGCUCUGCUGUUCCUUUGUGGGUAAUCACAGCUCCCUCUCACCCUUUUUUUUCAAUACUAGGGAUUGAACUGAGGGCCUUUAUACUAAGCUACAUCCUCAUCUCUGUACUUACUUAUGAUCCUCCUGCCUCAGCCUCCAAAGGGCUGGAGGGACAGGCAUGUGUACCACACCUAGCCUAAUCACAGCUUCUCACCUGCUUGUGAGGAGUGUGGGUUGGCUGGCAUUUUGUCAGAGGGUAGACAGUGAGACAUUAUGGAGAACGGAGGCCUCCCCAGCAUGUGGGAGUGGGAGAUGCUGGCAGGCACCUUCAAGCAUCCUUUCCCUGCAGCGCAGAGGGCAAUGCACCCAGUGCCAUGGGUCUCAAACCUUCCCUUUUACUCUACCAAAGAACAAGUUACAGCUCAAUUUCCUUGUCUGUAAAACAGUUGUGGUUGGCCUUAUUCCUCACAGGCAUGCUGGGUAGAUUAAAGGAGACAGUGCUCAAGAAGCAUCUAGCAGAAUUCCUGGUUGGGGUAAGUAGGCAAUCAACACUAGCCAUGAGUCUCAUUCAUUAGUCACCCAACCACCAAAGCAAUGUAUCACACACUUUCCUGCCCCAGAUCUCUGCAUAAGCUGAAGCCUCUUCGUGGAACACCAUUUCUGACCUCUAAGAAAAUUCCAAGUCACUCUGCACUUACUACAUAGUAUCUAUAGCUCGGCCCAAUUUCUAGAGCAGCCUGUGGGUUCCUCUAGGAGGAGUCUUCUCUGAACCACAGAAUUUGCUCUGACUCCUACGAUGCCCUGAGUUACUUUCACAGUCACCCUAUAGGGUCAUUUUCUUGUCACUUGUCCAUGAGACCUGUGAAUUCAGGAGCCAAGCUGGUGUCUGUCUUUUCCAGGCUCAGCACAAAUGAGAAGGAAAUGGGGUUGAAGUGCUCAGAGCAAGGAAAGAGGAAAGUUUAGGAGGACAGAUCUGGGGUUGAGGGGCACACUUCUCUGAUGGUCCCCAGGAAGCUGUGCCAGGUGGGGUUAGGGGAAUGGGCCGAGGGUCUGGGGGUAACAUUCUUCCCUCUGCCACCUCCCGCCCAUGUGGGAUGGAGGAGCAAGUCCAUCUCUCUCCUUCCCUCCACCCUUUCCCCAUCUCACCUGAGCCUCCUGCACCUUCCCUGCCUGGGUCUCCAGAGGGUCAGAGGCUGGGGAGGAGGGGGAGCAGAUGUGGUUAUAGUGCGGGGAAUGGUUAAGUAGGGUACAAAGGGGUUCCAGUGGCAGGUGGGGCCAGAAGACCUACCAACCUAGUUACACUGGGGUCAGGUGGUGGUAAAAAUAAAGG